UUCCAGUAUCAAUCCAGUUCCUUUAAAGGCUCUGUAGAUUCUCUCAGCUUUCCUGAUAUCUUCCUGUGGUAAUUCUUGGAGCAAAACCUCAUGAUGGAAGCUACCAAUGACCUGAUGUGGAUGGGUAUAAUGGAAAUUUUAGGACAAAGAGGAUGAAGAUUAACAAGGAAAUAAAUGUAUUUCAUCGAUAGACUUGCUCCUGCAUGAGCUUGGAAUGGGCUGACUUACAAGACAAAGCUCACAUCUAUAUAACUUUGCUUUUGUUAUAUGUAUAAUCACUGAUCUGGCCAAGAUGUAUAAAACAUUAACAGGUGCAACACAUAGGACCCGCCUCUGCCAAUGCAU